AACCAACUAGAAACCAGACAACAAACAGAUACAGUGUUUGAUGUAUGGGAGGACUGUAACGAAGACCAGAUUCCAGAAGAAAAUGUGGUGAAGCAAAAAUUUAAUAAUUUGUAAAGGCAGCAUGAAUUGAAAAUUUCAAAAGCAACACAUAAUGAGGUAAUUUUAAUGCAUAGUUUCUUUACAUGUAUUUCUUUGCAAGUUGUUGAUUUUUGUCUCACCACAAACUCCACCUUAGACGACUGCAAAUCAACUAUUCAAAAGAUGCCUAGCUGACGAUUUACCACUAACCAACUCCAAACUAGAGAACUCAAGAUGGUACAUGGUGUUCCAACUGGUGAUUCAACCAACCAACCAAACAGACACAUAUAUAUGGUAGAUGCAGGAUGGAUGCCUUUGGUGACUAUGGACCAACUGAUGAACCAACUAGAAACCAGACAACAAACAGAUACAGUGUGUGAUGUGUGAGGGGACUGUGACCAAGACCAGAUUUCAGAGCCAGAAGAGAAUGUGGUGAAGCAAAAAUUUAAUAAUUUGUAAAGGUAGCAUGAAUUGAAAAUUUCAAAAGCAACACAUAAUGAGGUAAUUUUAAUGCAUAGUUUCUUUACAUGUAUUUCUUUGCAAGUUGUUAAAUUUUUGUCUCACCACAAACUCCACUAAAGACAACUGCAAAUCAACUACUCAAAAGAUGCCUAGCUGACGAUCAACCACUAACCAACUCCAAACUAGAGAACUCAAGAUGGUACAUGGUGUUCCAACUGGUGAUUCAACCAACCAAACAGACACAUAGAAAUGGUAGAUGCAGGAUGGGUGCCUUUGGUGACUAUGAACCAACUGAUGAACCAACCAGGAACCAGACAACAAACAGAUACAGUGUGUGAUGUGUGAGGGGACAGUGACCAAGACCAGAUUCCAGAGGAGGAUGUGGUGAAGCAAAAAUUUAAUAAUUUGUAAAGGUAGCAUGAAUUGAAAAUUUCAAAAGCAACACAUAAUGAGGUAAUUUUAAUGCAUAGUUUCUUUACAUGUAUUUCUUUGCAAGUUGUUAAAUUUUUGUCUCACCACAAACUCCACUAAAGACAACUGCAAAUCAACUACUCAAAAGAUGCCUAGCUGACGAUCAACCACUAACCAACUCCAAACUAGAGAACUCAAGAUGGUACAUGGUGUUCCAACUGGUGAUUCAACCAACCAAACAGACACAUAGAAAUGGUAGAUGCAGGAUGGGUGCCUUUGGUGACUAUGAACCAACUGAUGAACCAACCAGGAACCAGACAACAAACAGAUACAGUGUGUGAUGUGUGAGGGGACAGUGACCAAGACCAGAUUCCAUAGGAGGAUGUGGUGAAGCAAAAAUUUAAUAAUUUGUAAAGGCAGCAUGAAUUGAAAAUUUCAAAAGCAACACAUAAUGAGGUAAUUUUAAUGCAUAGUUUCUUUACAUGUAUUUCUUUGCAAGUUGUUAAAUUUUUGUCUCACCACAAACUCCACCUUAGACGACUGCAAAUCAACUACUCAAAAGAUGCCUAGCUGACGAUCAACCACUAACCAACUCCAAACAAGAGAACUCAAGAUGGUACAUGGUGUUCCAACUGGUGAUGCAACCAACCAACCAACCAAACAGACACAUGGAAAUGGUAGAUGCAGGAUGGAUGCCUUUGGUGACUAUGAACCAAAUGAUGAACCAACCAGACACCAGACAACAAACAGAUACAGUGUUUGAUGUAUGGGAGGACUGUAACGAAGACCAGAUUCCAGAAGAAAAUGUGGUGAAGCAAAAAUUUAAUAAUUUGUAAAGGCAGCAUGAAUUGAAAAUUUCAAAAGCAACACAUAAUGAGGUAAUUUUAAUGCAUAGUUUCUUUACAUGUAUUUCUUUGCAAGUUGUUGAUUUUUGUCUCACCACAAACUCCACCUUAGACGACUGCAAAUCAACUAUUCAAAAGAUGCCUAGCUGACGAUUUACCACUAACCAACUCCAAACUAGAGAACUCAAGAUGGUACAUGGUGUUCCAACUGGUGAUUCAACCAACCAACCAAACAGACACAUAUAUAUGGUAGAUGCAGGAUGGAUGCCUUUGGUGACUAUGGACCAACUGAUGAACCAACUAGAAACCAGACAACAAACAGAUACAGUGUGUGAUGUGUGAGGGGACUGUGACCAAGACCAGAUUUCAGAGCCAGAAGAGAAUGUGGUGAAGCAAAAAUUUAAUAAUUUGUAAAGGUAGCAUGAAUUGAAAAUUUCAAAAGCAACACAUAAUGAGGUAAUUUUAAUGCAUAGUUUCUUUACAUGUAUUUCUUUGCAAGUUGUUAAAUUUUUGUCUCACCACAAACUCCACUAAAGACAACUGCAAAUCAACUACUCAAAAGAUGCCUAGCUGACGAUCAACCACUAACCAACUCCAAACUAGAGAACUCAAGAUGGUACAUGGUGUUCCAACUGGUGAUUCAACCAACCAAACAGACACAUAGAAAUGGUAGAUGCAGGAUGGGUGCCUUUGGUGACUAUGAACCAACUGAUGAACCAACCAGGAACCAGACAACAAACAGAUACAGUGUGUGAUGUGUGAGGGGACAGUGACCAAGACCAGAUUCCAGAGGAGGAUGUGGUGAAGCAAAAAUUUAAUAAUUUGUAAAGGUAGCAUGAAUUGAAAAUUUCAAAAGCAACACAUAAUGAGGUAAUUUUAAUGCAUAGUUUCUUUACAUGUAUUUCUUUGCAAGUUGUUAAAUUUUUGUCUCACCACAAACUCCACUAAAGACAACUGCAAAUCAACUACUCAAAAGAUGCCUAGCUGACGAUCAACCACUAACCAACUCCAAACUAGAGAACUCAAGAUGGUACAUGGUGUUCCAACUGGUGAUUCAACCAACCAAACAGACACAUAGAAAUGGUAGAUGCAGGAUGGGUGCCUUUGGUGACUAUGAACCAACUGAUGAACCAACCAGGAACCAGACAACAAACAGAUACAGUGUGUGAUGUGUGAGGGGACAGUGACCAAGACCAGAUUCCAGAGGAGGAUGUGGUGAAGCAAAAAUUUAAUAAUUUGUAAAGGCAGCAUGAAUUGAAAAUUUCAAAAGCAACACAUAAUGAGGUAAUUUUAAUGCAUAGUUUCUUUACAUGUAUUUCUUUGCAAGUUGUUAAAUUUUUGUCUCACCACAAACUCCACCUUAGACGACUGCAAAUCAACUACUCAAAAGAUGCCUAGCUGACGAUCAACCACUAACCAACUCCAAACAAGAGAACUCAAGAUGGUACAUGGUGUUCCAACUGGUGAUGCAACCAACCAACCAACCAAACAGACACAUGGAAAUGGUAGAUGCAGGAUGGAUGCCUUUGGUGACUAUGAACCAAAUGAUGAACCAACCAGACACCAGACAACAAACAGAUACAGUGUUUGAUGUAUGGGAGGACUGUAACGAAGACCAGAUUCCAGAAGAAAAUGUGGUGAAGCAAAAAUUUAAUAAUUUGUAAAGGCAGCAUGAAUUGAAAAUUUCAAAAGCAACACAUAAUGAGGUAAUUUUAAUGCAUAGUUUCUUUACAUGUAUUUCUUUGCAAGUUGUUGAUUUUUGUCUCACCACAAACUCCACCUUAGACGACUGCAAAUCAACUAUUCAAAAGAUGCCUAGCUGACGAUUUACCACUAACCAACUCCAAACUAGAGAACUCAAGAUGGUACAUGGUGUUCCAACUGGUGAUUCAACCAACCAACCAUACAGACACAUAUAUAUGGUAGAUGCAGGAUGGAUGCCUUUGGUGACUAUGGACCAACUGAUGAACCAACUAGAAACCAGACAACAAACAGAUACAGUGUGUGAUGUGUGAGGGGACUGUGACCAAGACCAGAUUUCAGAGCCAGAAGAGAAUGUGGUGAAGCAAAAAUUUAAUAAUUUGUAAAGGUAGCAUGAAUUGAAAAUUUCAAAAGCAACACAUAAUGAGGUAAUUUUAAUGCAUAGUUUCUUUACAUGUAUUUCUUUGCAAGUUGUUAAAUUUUUGUCUCACCACAAACUCCACUAAAGACAACUGCAAAUCAACUACUCAAAAGAUGCCUAGCUGACGAUCAACCACUAACCAACUCCAAACUAGAGAACUCAAGAUGGUACAUGGUGUUCCAACUGGUGAUUCAACCAACCAAACAGACACAUAGAAAUGGUAGAUGCAGGAUGGGUGCCUUUGGUGACUAUGAACCAACUGAUGAACCAACCAGGAACCAGACAACAAACAGAUACAGUGUGUGAUGUGUGAGGGGACAGUGACCAAGACCAGAUUCCAGAGGAGGAUGUGGUGAAGCAAAAAUUUAAUAAUUUGUAAAGGUAGCAUGAAUUGAAAAUUUCAAAAGCAACACAUAAUGAGGUAAUUUUAAUGCAUAGUUUCUUUACAUGUUUUUCUUUGCAAGUUGUUAAAUUUUUGUCUCACCACAAACUCCACUAAAGACAACUGCAAAUCAACUACUCAAAAGAUGCCUAGCUGACGAUCAACCACUAACCAACUCCAAACUAGAGAACUCAAGAUGGUACAUGGUGUUCCAACUGGUGAUUCAACCAACCAAACAGACACAUAGAAAUGGUAGAUGCAGGAUGGGUGCCUUUGGUGACUAUGAACCAACUGAUGAACCAACCAGGAACCAGACAACAAACAGAUACAGUGUGUGAUGUGUGAGGGGACAGUGACCAAGACCAGAUUCCAGAGGAGGAUGUGGUGAAGCAAAAAUUUAAUAAUUUGUAAAGGCAGCAUGAAUUGAAAAUUUCAAAAGCAACACAUAAUGAGGUAAUUUUAAUGCAUAGUUUCUUUACAUGUAUUUCUUUGCAAGUUGUUAAAUUUUUGUCUCACCACAAACUCCACCUUAGACGACUGCAAAUCAACUACUCAAAAGAUGCCUAGCUGACGAUCAACCACUAACCAACUCCAAACUAGAGAACUCAAGAUGGUACAUGGUGUUCCAACUGGUGAUUCAACCAACCAAACAGACACAUAGAAAUGGUAGAUGCAGGAUGGAUGCCUUUGGUGACUAUGAACCAAAUGAUGAACCAACCAGGAACCAGACAACAAACAGAUACAGUGUGUGAUGUGUGAGGGGACUGUGACCAAGACCAGAUACCAGAAGAGAAUGUGGUGAAGCUAAAAUUUAAUAAUUUGCAACUUUUGGCAGCAUGAAUUGGAAAUUUGAAAAGUAACGAGGAAUUAGCUAAUUUAAUGCAAAGUUUUUAAGCAUGUAUUUCUUUGCAAGUUGUUGAAUUUUUGUCUCACCACAAACUCCACUAAAGAUGACUUCAAAUCAACUACGCAAUUAGCCACAAACCAACUCCAAACUAGAAAACUCAAGAUAGACCAAGACCAACUGAUGAAGCUGACAAAUAUAGUUUGUGAUGUUACUUUUGACUCGUCUGGUAGCACAUGGAUGAUAUCUGAUGUAAAGAUUCUGUUCAAGGAGGAUUCAUUUCAACAUACCCAUUUUUCACUUUAAUGGAUUUUUCAAUUGAUGAUAGUGACCAACUUAUCUUUUAACUGGAUUGUUGAAGCAGAUUUGUUACAGUUGAUUUUUGACUUUAACUAAAGAAGUACAGUUGACAGCAUUUGAUCAGACAUUCCAUCUUAUACUAUGAACACGUUGAUAUUUUGAGGAAGAUUGCAUUGAUUAUAAAGAAUAAAUCAAAUGUUAUGUUGUA